rnacentral:rRNA from 1 species
CAGUCGCCGCGGUAAUACGGAGGGUGCAAGCGUUGUUCGGAAUUACUGGGCGUAAAGCGCGCGUAGGCGGUUACUCAAGUCAGAGGUGAAAGCCCGGGGCUCAACCCCGGAACUGCCUUUGAAACUAGGUGACUAGAAUCUUGGAGAGGUCAGUGGAAUUCCGAGUGUAGAGGUGAAAUUCGUAGAUAUUCGGAAGAACACCAGUGGCGAAGGCGACUGACUGGACAAGUAUUGACGCUGAGGUGCGAAAGCGUGGGGAGCAAACAGGAUUAGAUACCCCCGUAGUCCCUGUCUCUUAUAC